rnacentral:sRNA from 12 species
UUCAAUGAACUGCUCACUUUUAAUUAAUAUUAAAAGUUUGACUGACUAAUCUUCUGUAAUGCUAUUAUGAGGAUUGCCCUUUGAGGCUUAUAGCGAUAGGUGUCCUAUGGUUGGUCACAUGAUUCGUUGAA